GACGGAGGGGGCAAGCGUUGUUCGGAAUUAUUGGGCGUAAAGGGCUCGUAGGCGGACCGGUGUGUCUGGCGUGAAAUCUCCACUGCUUAACAGGGAGGGGCCGCUGGAAACUGCCGAUCUUGAGUAUGGUAGAGGACCAUGGAAUUCCGGGUGUAGCGGUGGAAUGCGUAGAUAUCAGGAGGAACACCGGUGGCGAAGGCGGGUCUCUGGGCAACAACUGACGCUGAGGAGCGAAAGCGUGGGGAGCGAACGGG
rnacentral:rRNA from 1 species